ACCACGAGCCAAGCAGGUUACAGACUCUACACACAUUAUACAGUUUCAUUCCCCAACCACCUAUGCAUUACAUAUUAAAAGGCCUGUUUCUGAAAGGCAGAGUGUAGAGGAUUUGUAGGGCAGUGAAAAGGUAUCCAUAAUCAGUGAUCUAUUGCCAAACCUUAACAGGAAGUCACAUGGCCAAGGAGAACACGGUUUGUGGAGUUCCAGCACCAGCCUCAAAGCAGAGCAUGGAAGGAACUCUGCAACUCACGGAUCAGAAGAUCUCACUCGCGAAUCCAUGCCACUGGGGACUAGCGUCCCAACUCCAGAAUGCACAGACUCUUAACAGCCGCUCAGCUGGAAUCUGCUUAAGCCUAUGGAACUCCCACAGGGAGAGACAACCAGCACCGCACUUCGGCUGCCUGCUGUCUAAGCACUUUGAGCUCCUUGGGGGAGGGGCAGCAGCCAGCACUAGGACUGGCAACCGCCAAACACGCUAAGCUCCCUAGGUGGGGGAAGGGCGGCACCCAUCUCUAUAGCCCCAGGCUGUGCUUUUCCCCUGCUGGAGCCAGAGAGGCUGGAUUCCUUGGUCCUAAGACUUGUCCCCCACAGCCCAACACUGCAGCUGUGGCAGUCUGUGGCCAGAGUGCCUCUUCAGGCUUAACCCUGACCCAUCCUUCCUCAUUGGGCAGGGCUUCCCUGCAGGAACUCCAAUAACUCCAGCCAGAGAGGUUCAGGGACAGAAUCUGGAUCUCCCUGGGCCCGAGCCCUUAGGGGGAGGGGUGGCCACAGUCUCUAUGGAGCAGCAGACUUAGCCUCUCAUCCUGGUAGUUCUGAGAAAUCCAGGCAGCACAGAUAAGUGUGUUUCUCCCCAGUGAAUCAUACCCUCUCCACUAAAGGACAAAGUUCUUCAUUAAACAGGUCCUGUUCCCUGUGCUACCCAACUGGGUGAGACCCACCAAUCGGAGUUGUCAGACACCCUAUACAGGAGCAAUCCUGCUGGCAUCAGGUUGGUGCCCCUCUAGGUCAAAGAUGCCAGAAGAAGGAGCAGGCACCCAUCAUUGCUGUUUUCCAGCCUCCUUGAGUGACAUCUCUAGGCACAGGAGCAAAUCAGAUUAAUAGGGCCUGAACUGAACCCCCAGUAAACUACAGCAGCCCUACAGAAGAGGGAACUGACCACUGGGGGGAAAAAAAAAAACAGAAAGCAACAACAGGAGCAUCAACCACAACAACAACAACAAAAAGCCCCCACAAAAACCCCAUUCACGGGUCAGCAGCCUCAAAGACUGAAACUAGACAAACUCAUGAAGAUGAGAAAGAAUCAACAAAAGAAUGCUGAAAACCCAGAAGGCCAGAGUGCCUCUUCUCUUGUAAAUGAUCACAACAUUUCUCCACCAAGGGCACAGAACAGGAUGGAGGAUGAGAUGGAUGCAUUGACAAAAGUAGGCUUCAGAAGAUGGGUAAUAAAAAACUACACAGAGCUAAAGGAACAUAUCCUAACCCCAUGCAAAUAAACUAAGAACAUUGAUUAAAAAGUUCAAGGAAUUGCUAACUAGAAUAACCAGUUUAGAGAGCAACAUAAACCAGCUGACAGAGCUGAAAAACACAGCACGAGAACUUUGUGAAGCAUACACAAGUAUCAAUAGCUGAAUCGACCAAGAGGAAGAAAGGAUAUCAGAGUUUGAAGACCACUUUGCUGAAAUAAGGCAUGCAGACAAAACUAGAGAAAAAAAAGAAUGAAAAGGAAUGAACAAAGCCUCCAAGAAAUACAGGACUCCAUAAAAAGACUGAACCUACAACUGAUUGGAGUACCAGAGGAGACAGGGAGAAUGGAAACAAGCUGGAAAACACAGUUCAGGAUAUUAUCCAAGAGAACAUCCCCAAACUAGCAAGAAAGGCCAAGAUGCCAAUUCAGGAAAUACAGAGAACACCAUUAAGAUAUUCCAUGAGAAGAUCAGACCGGAAUGCAUAAUCAUCAGAUUCUCCAAGGUCAAAAUGAAGAACAAACAGUUAAAGCCAGCCAGAGAGUAAGGCCAGGUCACCUACUAAGGGAAGCCCAUCAGACUAACAGCAGAUAUCUCAGGAGAAACUGUACAAGCCAGAAGAGAUUGGGGGCCAAUAUUAACAUUCUUAAAAAAAAAAUUUUCAACCUAGAAUUUUAUAUACAGCCAAACUAAGCUUCAUAAGUGAAGGAGAAAUAAAAUCCUUUCAGACAAGCAAAUGCUGAGUGAUUUUGUUACCAUCAGGCCUGC
rnacentral:lncRNA from 1 species